CUGCGUUGGCAGCAUGGAUGCUAACGAUGGAACGACACAGAGAAGAUGAACAUGGCCCCUGCACAAGGAUGAUGUGCAAAUCCGUGAAGUGUUCCAUAUUUUC